UACAGAGGGGGCAAGCGUUGUUCGGAAUUACUGGGCGUAAAGGGCGCGUAGGCGGCCGCCUAAGUCAGACGUGAAAUCCCUCGGCUCAACCGGGGAACUGCGUCUGAUACUGGGUGGCUUGAAUUCGGGAGAGGGAUGCGGAAUUCCAGGUGUAGCGGUGAAAUGCGUAGAUAUCUGGAGGAACACCGGUGGCGAAGGCGGCAUCCUGGACCGAGAUUGACGCUGAGACGCGAAAGCGUGGGGAGCGAACAGG
rnacentral:rRNA from 1 species